rnacentral:rRNA from 1 species
AGCAGUAGCCACGGUAAUACGAAGGGGGCUAGCGUUGUUCGGAUUUACUGGGCGUAAAGCGCACGUAGGCGGACUUUUAAGUCAGGGGCGAAAUCCCGGGGCUCAACCCCGGAACUGCCUUUGAUACUGGGAGUCUUGAGUUCGAGAGAGGUGAGUGGAAUUGCGAGUGUAGAGGUGAAAUUCGUAGAUAUUCGCAGGAACACCAGUGGCGAAGGCGGCUCACUGGCUCGAUACUGACGCUGAGGUGCGAAAGCGUGGGGAGCAAACAGGAUUAGAUACCCGCGUAGUCCCUGUCUCUUAUAC